GUUGUUGGGUAGGGGAGCGUUCUGUAAGCCUGCGAAGGUGUACUGUGAGGUAUGCUGGAGGUAUCAGAAGUGCGAAUGCUGACAUAAGUAACGAUAAAGCGGGUGAAAAGCCCGCUCGCCGGAAGACCAAGGGUUCCUGUCCAACGUUAAUCGGGGCAGGGUGAGUCGACCCCUAAGGCGAGGCCGAAAGGCGUAGUCGAUGGGAAACAGGUUAAUAUUCCUGUACUUGGUGUUACUGCGAAGGGGGGACGGAGAAGGCUAUGUUGGCCGGGCGACGGUUGUCCCGGUUUAAGCGUGUAGGCUGGUUUUCCAGGCAAAUCCGGAAAAUCAAGGCUGAGGCGUGAUGACGAGGCACUACGGUGCUGAAGCAACAAAUGCCCUGCUUCCAGGAAAAGCCUCUAAGCAUCAGGUAACAUCAAAUCGUACCCCAAACCGACACAGGUGGUCAGGUAGAGAAUACCAAGGCGCUUGAGAGAACUCGGGUGAAGGAACUAGGCAAAAUGGUGCCGUAACUUCGGGAGAAGGCACGCUGAUAUGUAGGUGAAG
rnacentral:rRNA from 1 species